UACGUAGGCAGCGAGCGUUGUUCGGAAUUACUGGGCGUAAAGAGUGUGUAGGCGGUGCUCUAAGUUCAGUGUGAAAUCUCCCGCUUAACUGGGAGGGUGCGCCGGAAACUGGAGUGCUCGAGCGUGGGAGAGGAAAGCGGAAUUCCUGGUGUAGCGGUGAAAUGCGUAGAUAUCAGGAGGAACACCUGCGGUGUAGACGGCUUUCUGGACCAUUGCUGACGCUGAGACACGAAAGCGUGGGUAGCAAACAGG
rnacentral:rRNA from 1 species